GAUGAACGCUAGCUACAGGCUUAACACAUGCAAGUCGAGGGACCGGCGCACGGGUGAGUAACACGUAUCCAACCUGCCCUUUACUCGGGGAUAGCCUUUAGCAAGAAAGAUUAAUACACGCUAUAACGGAUGGGUAUGCGUUCCAUUAGGUUGUUGGUGAGGUACAGGCUAACCAAGCCUUCGAUGGAUAGGCGUUCUGAUAGGAAGGUCCCCCACAUUGGAACGGAUCUACGUUCCAAACUCCUACGGGAGGCAGCAGUGAGGAAUAUUGGUCAAUGGGCUCUAGCCUGAACCAGCUAAGUAGCGUGAAGGAUGAAGGCUUAUGGGUCGUAAACUUCUUUUAUAUAAGAAUAUGUAUUAUAUGAAUAAGGAUCGGCUAACUCCGUGCCAGCAGCCGCGGUAAUUC
rnacentral:rRNA from 1 species